GGCCCGCCGGCCCGCCGGCCCGCCGCCCGGCUGGGGGUCCGGCUUCCUGCCCCGGACUGCUGCGGGAGCGCUCUCGGCCUGGAAAAGUCAGCAUGAGGUUGACUGCUAGGACUUCAAGGCCUAGAUCACACAGAUCCAGAUAUUCACAUGUCCUGGAGAGGAGUGCCUGAGUGGUCCUGCUUUAGUCACAGGUCUGUUUCUAGACUGUUCGGCUAAUCAGCCGGGGAGAAGAGUGAGUGUUAUCAAUCUGGCUGCUGAGAGCUCAUCCUGGUGGAAACUGGGUACAUAUGCCUCCCACGGGCCUGAUCUCAAAUCGCGAAUGAGCCGUCACCUUCAGAUAAUACUGUUAGGGUUGUAUCUGAGCAUAAACGUUUCAGAGACUCUCCUACCACAGAGAUUAUAAAGUCAUUGGCACACCGUCAGUAAGUCUAGGUCUUAGGAAAAAAAGUCAGA